UCGAGAAUCUUUCACAAUGGGGGCAACCCUGAUGGAGCGACGCCGCGUGGAGGAUAAGGUCUUCGGAUUGUAAACUCCUGUCAUGCGCGAACAAAUGUGCUUUGCACACUGAUAGUAGCGCAAGAGGAAGAGACGGCUAACUCUGUGCCAGCAGCCGCGGUAAUACAGAGGUCUCAAGCGUUGUUCGGAAUCACUGGGCGUAAAGGGUGCGUAGGUGGCUAGGUAAGUCAGAUGUGAAAGCCCGACGCUCAACGUCGUGAUUGCAUUUGAUACUGCUUGGCUAGAGUUUUGAAGGGGAGUCUAGAAUUCACGGUGUAGCAGUGAAAUGCGUGGAUAUCGUGAGGAAUACCAAAGGCGAAGGCAGGACUCUGGGCAAAUACUGACACUGAUGCACGAAGGC
rnacentral:rRNA from 1 species